rfam:Macleaya cordata isolate BLH2017 scaffold1433, whole genome shotgun sequence.
AAAAAAAACAUCAUUGAGUGCAGCGUUGAUGAAGUCUUGACUCAUCACAAUCGUUCAUGGACGUUGGAUUUCACGUUCUUGUGAUGUGAGAUCAAUGUGAUUUCGCCAGCGCUGCAUUCAAUCAUGUUUUUA